GCUUGUCUCAAAGAUUAAGCCAUGCAUGUCUAAGUAUAAACAACUUUAUACAGUGAAACUGCAGAUGGCUCAUUAAAUCAGUUAUAAUUUAUUUGAUGAUUAACUUUACUACAUGGAUAACCGUAGUAAUUCUAGAGCUAAUACAUGCGUAAAGGGUGCUGAAAGGCAUCUGUGUUUAUUAGAUACAACCAACCCCUCGCGGGUUUAGGUGAUUCAUAAUAACCGAACGAACCGCGUUCAGCGGUGAUUCUUUCUACAUUAUUCCCUAUCAGCUUUCGUUUUUUGUGUAGUGGACAAAAAAGGCUUUGACGGGUAACGGAGAAUUAGGGUUCGAUUCCGGAGAGGGAGCCUGAGAGAUGGCUACCACAUCCAAGGAAGGCAGCAGG
rnacentral:rRNA from 1 species